AAUCCCUCGACUCAAUCGAGGAAUUGCAUGGCGAACCGCAUGUCUUGAGGCAAGUAGGGGCGGUCGGAACGAUAGGUGGAGUGGUGAAAUGCGUUGAUAUCUAUCGGAACGCCGAAGGAGAAAUCAGACCGCUGGGCUUGUCCUGACGCUGAGGCACGAAAGCGUGGGGAGCGAACGGGAUUAGAUACCCCGGAAGUCCACGCCGUAAACGAUGUGCACUAGAUCGAGGGGGCUUUGACGCCGCUCUCGGUCGAAGCGAAAGUGUUAAGUGCACCGCCUGGGGAGUACGGUCGCAAGGCUAAAACUCAAAGGAAUUGACGGGGGCUCACACAAGCGGUGGAGCAUGUGGCUUAAUUCGAAGCAACGCGAAGAACCUUAUCCUGGGUUUGACAUGCACGGAUUAGUCCGCCGAAAGGCGGGUGACGCGGCUUGCCGUGGAACGUGCACAGGUGCUGCAUGGCUGUCGUCAGCUCGUGCUGUGAAGUGUCGGGUUAAGUCCCUUAACGAGCGCAACCCCUGUCGCUAGUUGCCAGCAGUUCGGCUGGGGACUCUAGCGAGACUGCCGGUGUCAAACCGGAGGAAGGUGGGGAUGACGUCAAGUCCGCAUGGCCUUUAUGCCCAGGGCUGCACACGUGCUACAAUGGCCGGUACAGAACGACGCAAUACCGCGAGGUGGAGCAAAUCGCAAAAGCCGGCCCCAGUUCAGAUUGCAGGCUGCAACCCGCCUGCAUGAAGU
rnacentral:rRNA from 1 species